rnacentral:rRNA from 1 species
UACCAGACUCCUACGGGAGGCAGCAGUGAGGAAUAUUGGUCAAUGGGCGGGAGCCUGAACCAGCCAAGCCGCGUGAAGGAAGAAGGCGCCAGGCGUCGUAAACUUCUUUUGUCGGGGAACAAAGGGCGCCACGCGUGGCGUUGUGAGUGUACCCGAAGAAAAAGCAUCGGCUAACUACGUGCCAGCAGCCGCGGUAAUACGUAGGUGGCAAGCGUUAUCCGGAUUUACUGGGUGUAAAGGGCGUGUAGGCGGGACUGCAAGUCAGAUGUGAAAAUUAUGGGCUCAACCCAUAACCUGCAUUUGAAACUGUAGUUCUUGAGUGAUGGAGAGGCAGGCGGAAUUCCGUGUGUAGCGGUGAAAUGCGUAGAUAUACGGAGGAACACCAGUGGCGAAGGCGGCCUGCUGGACAUUAACUGACGCUGAGGCGCGAAAGCGUGGGGAGCAAACAGGAUUAGAUACCCGCGUAAA